UACAGGGGGGGCAAGCGUUGUUCGGAAUUACUGGGCGUAAAGGGUUCGUAGGUGGCUUGCUAAGACAGAUGUGAAAUCCCCGGGCUUAACCUGGGAACUGCAUUUGUGACUGCAUGGCUGGAGUGCGGCAGAGGGGGAUGGAAUUCCGCGUGUAGCAGUGAAAUGCGUAGAUAUGCGGAGGAACACCGAUGGCGAAGGCAAUCCCCUGGGCCUGCACUGACGCUCAUGCACGAAAGCGUGGGGAGCAAACAGG
rnacentral:rRNA from 1 species